GAUUAACGCUGGCGGCGUGCCUAACACAUGCAAGUCGAACGAUGAAACUUGGUAGACUUCCUCGGAAAGACACUAAGCGGGGUAGUGGCGAACGGGUGAGUAACGAGCGAGUAACCUGCCUUACACAAGGGGAUAGCCUUUGGAAACGAAGAAUAAUAUCCUAUAAAACGAUACAAGCACAUGCUAGAAUGGUCAAAGUGAUAGCGGUGUAAGAUGGACUUGCGUAUGAUUAGCUGGUUGGUGAGAUAAACGCUCACAAAGGCAACGAUCAGUAGCCGGCUUGGAAGAGGGUACGGCACCAUUGGGACGGGGACCAGGCCCAAACCCCUACGGAAGGCAGCAGGGGGGAAGUUUGCACAAGGGGGGAAGCCCUAAGGCAGCGAGGCCGCGUGAUUUAGAAGGCCUUCGGGUUGUAAAAUUCUUUUGUAUAGGAAGAAAAUGACGGUACUCUACGAAUAAGCCCCGGCUAACUACGUG
rnacentral:rRNA from 1 species